UUUGCAAGCCGAUCUACAUUCUCUCCCAAACCAGAUCUCUUUUCAUAGCUACCAACUUAGAUCUAUUUUACCCCCCACAGAUUUCAAAGGUGCAUGUCAUCUCAGGGACGUGACUGUGAGGAUGAGGAUAUGUAACUGAUCAUCUCUUUCUCAUCUCUCUCUCUCUUUCUAUUCCUUCCUCUUCCACCGCAGUUCGCCGGCCGUUGCCGCCGGCUCUCGUAUCUUUCCCCGCGCUCUCUCUCUCUGGCAAUCUGAAAAUGGCGCUGUUUAUCUGUCCUAGGGAAGUGAGUUUUGUUGGAGAUUCCAGGUCCUUUUUUAUCGUCGAGCCUAUCGAUGUCGACGAAGCCAAUCGACGAUUUGGCUUUUGAAUUACUUCUUUUGUUUGAUUUAAUCUUUAUUUGUCGUCGUUAUUUUUUAUAUUUUGAUAUUCAUCCAUAUUUAUAUAUAUUUGUGUUGUUUUGGUAUUGCUAAUUUUUAUGGAUGUAGGAACUUCUUACCUAACAAGGUCAUAUCCAUGGUGGUGAUGGAUAGGUACAGAAGGGGUGGAGAAGAAGAGCUAAUUUGGCGACGAUAAUUGUGCCUUAAUUAAGGAUAUUAAUUAUUCUUAAUUAAGGUUUUUAGUACCAUUUAUGGCGACCAUUAUUGGGGCAUUAUUGGCCCAUAGAGGCAUUUAAGUGCCAUAAUGUUGGCUCGUUUAUGUCUGUAUUUUAAUUUUUUUUCAAAUUCGCUCACAUUCGUUUCAUUCUGUUUUGUCUUAUUUUCAGGAUGUUUGAAAAAGAUUUUAAGAAUUUAUUUAUUAAGGCUGCUUCCGAGAAGACGCGAACUUUGGUGUACAAGACAGUUGAGCUACAAACAUAGAUAGAAAGGAAUAAAGAAGACAUCAAUUUUAGUCUGUUUUGUAAUCGAUGUAAUUUUUGUAGGGCACUCUUUUUCCUCCUUGAGUUUUUUCCCACAGGGUUUUGCUCUUGAGGGGUUUUAACGAGGCCUUUUUUUUGUGGGUUAUCUCUUCUGACUUGAAAGGCUAUGUUAUCUAAGUUUCCGGAGUAUUUACAUACUUUCGGUUAGAUGAUAUACCUUCUUGAACGAAGGAAACUCUGUCCAUCCG
rnacentral:lncRNA from 1 species